rnacentral:rRNA from 1 species
CUACGGGCCGCUCCAGUGGGGAAUUUUGCGCAAUGGGGGAAACCCUGACGCAGCAAUACCGCGUGAGUGAAGAAGGCCUUUGGGUCGUAAAGCUCUUUUCUUGGGGAAGAUAGUGACGGUACCCAAGGAAUAAGCACCCGCUAACUCCGUGCCAGCAGCCGCGGUAAUACGGAGGGUGCAAGCGUUGUUCGGAUUUACUGGGCGUAAAGGGCACGUAGGCGGCACAGCAAGUUAAGGGUGAAAUCCCGGGGCUCAACUCCGGAACUGCUCUUAAAACUGCUGAGCUAGAGAUAGUCAGAGGCGGGUGGAAUUCCAGGUGUAGAGGUGAAAUUCGUAGAUAUCUGGAGGAACACCGGUGGCGAAGGCGGCCCGCUGGGGCUAUUCUGACGCUAAGGUGCGGAAGCGUGGGGAGCAAACGGGAUUAGAUACCCGCGUAGUC